rnacentral:rRNA from 1 species
AUUGAACGCUGGCGGCAGGCUUAACACAUGCAAGUCGAGCGGGGUGAUGGUGCUUGCACUAUCACUUAGCGGCGGACGGGUGAGUAACGCUUAGGAAUCUGCCUAUUAGUGGGGGACAACAUCUCGAAAGGGAUGCUAAUACCGCAUACGUCCUACGGGAGAAAGCAGGGGAUCACUUGUGACCUUGCGCUAAUAGAUGAGCCUAAGUCGGAUUAGCUAGUUGGUGGGGUAAAGGCCUACCAAGGCGACGAUCUGUAGCGGGUCUGAGAGGAUGAUCCGCCACACUGGGACUGAGACACGGCCCAGACUCCUACGGGAGGCAGCAGUGGGGAAUAUUGGACAAUGGGGGGAACCCUGAUUCAGCCAUGCCGCGUGUGUGAAGAAGGCCUUAUGGUUGUAAAGCACUUUAAGCGAGGAGGAGGCUCUUUUGGUUAAUACCCAAGAUGAGUGGACGUUACUCGCAGAAUAAGCACCGGCUAACUCUGUGCCAGCCGCCGCGGUAA